AGUCGGACGGGAUUGGGGGGCUUGCCCCCCAUGAGAGUGGCGCACGGGUGCGUAACGCGUGAGCAACCUGCCCUUGUCAGGGGGAUAGCCCGGAGAAAUCCGGAUUAACACCGCAUGACAUGGCCAUAUGGCAUCAUAUGGCCAUCAAAUAUUCAUAGGACAAGGAUGGGCUCGCGUGGCAUUAGCUAGUUGGUAGGGUAACGGCUUACCAAGGCGACGAUGCCUAGGGGCUCUGAGAGGAGAAUCCCCCACACUGGUACUGAGACACGGACCAGACUCCUACGGGAGGCAGCAGUAAGGAAUAUUGGUCAAUGGGCGGAAGCCUGAACCAGCCAUGCCGCGUGCAGGAAGACUGCCCUACGGGUUGUAAACUGCUUUUGCUGGGGAACAAACCCCCGCUCGUGAGCGGGGCUGAGCGUACCCAGAGAAUAAGGAUCGGCUAACUCCGUGCCAGCAGCCGCGGUAAUACGGAGGAUCCAAGCGUUAUCCGGAUUUAUUGGGUUUAAAGGGUGCGUAGGCGGCCCGUUAAGUCAGGGGUGAAAGACGGUGGCUCAACCAUCGCAGUGCCUUUGAUACUGACGGGCUUGAAUGUACGUGAGGUGGGCGGAAUGAGGCAAGUAGCGGUGAAAUGCAUAGAUAUGCCUCAGAACCCGAUUGCGAAGCAGCUCACCAAGUACGA
rnacentral:rRNA from 1 species